rnacentral:rRNA from 1 species
UACGGAGGGGGCUAGCGUUGUUCGGAAUUACUGGGCGUAAAGCGCGCGUAGGCGGUUCUUCAAGUCAGAGGUGAAAGCCCGGUGCUCAACACCGGAAUUGCCUUUGAAACUAGGGAACUUGAAUCCAGGAGAGGUGAGUGGAAUUCCGAGUGUAGAGGUGAAAUUCGUAGAUAUGGGGAGGAACACCGGUGGCGAAGGCGGCCACCUGGACGGUAACUGACGCUGAGACGCGAAAGCGUGGGGAGCAAACAGG